rnacentral:rRNA from 1 species
CACGGGGGGAGCAAGCGUUGUUCGGAAUUACUGGGCUUAAAGGGUGCGUAGGCGGCGCAGAAAGUUGGGUGUGAAAUCCCUCGGCUCAACCGAGGAACUGCGCCCAAAACUACUGUGCUUGAGGAAGAUAGAGGUAAGCGGAACUUACGGUGGAGCGGUGAAAUGCGUUGAUAUCGUAAGGAACACCUGUGGCGAAAGCGGCUUACUGGGCCGACACUGACGCUGAGGCGCGAAAGCCAGGGAGCGAACGGG